rnacentral:misc_RNA from 1 species
AUUUAGUUUAUCUAUAAAUGGAGAUAACAACUGCCGUGUAUCUGUCAAGAAUUUUAGCAAAAUAUCACUCCAAAGCUUCAUCGUUGUGUCACUUCUUGUCAUCUUUCCUUUAUCAUCACUGCCACUAGCACAUGCCAACAUUAGCUCAAAAUUAGAACCCUGACUUUUGUGAAUGUUUGGACUCCUCUUGAUGCUCCUAAUUGUAUCUUCAUGAUAUCCAUCCUCAGGAACUAAUUCUUCAAUUCUUCUUUUCCGCAGAGAAGAAUUUUCAAUAUCUUGUUCAGGAAUUUGGCUAUGUGAAACAUGGAGUUCCAGAUGGCUGUCACUAUCACCAGGUACACUAGUAUUGAAGUUUGGAGACAGUAUAUUUUUCCGAGCCAAGGAUUGUACAUUAUCAUCAUUUAACAAAUUACACAGUUCUUUCUUGGAUGGCCUUUGAGAUUGCUCCUUCUUAACGGGACUCUGAGUCAUCACUUUCUUAAAGGGGCUCUUCAUAAAUGAUGACUCAUUCACAUUUCUGAGAUGAAUGUAGAGGGAAUCUGAGGCAGAAAGAGAAGCUUCAUUCCAUUCCCCAGGAAGCUCGCCUUCAGAACGGAUUGGGUCAGUUGCAAAAGGGAUAUUCCGAUCUGGGCUUCUUGAGAGGAACUUCAGGGCAUUCCUCUCCUUAAAAGGAGUUCCUAUAUUUGGUAAGGUUUCAGAUGCAUUCUGCAGAUUAGGAGGGUAACUUUGCUUGUCAUGCACCUUUUCCACUUGAUCAAUGUCUCCAAAAUGAUUAAUCUCUGUGAGGGAUGAGGUGGACUGCUUUGUGCCUUCAGAAAACCUGGAUUCUGAUUCAUCAGUUGCUGCAGCAGAAUAGUUAUUGCUGGUAACAUUACAUAUUGAAGUCUUAUCUUGUCCUAAGCCAACACAAACAAGCUCAAAGUUCUGAGGGUCCUGAGUGACAGUACCAUGAUUUUCUGUUGAUGAGGAUAGCCUCUGAUCCAACAUUUUUGCUGAAGGAACAAACUUACCAGGUUGUCUGCUUGUUUUCACAUAAAUGCCAUGAUCUAGUUCAAUCUU